rnacentral:rRNA from 1 species
GACGAAGGUGGCAAGCGUUGUUCGGAUUCACUGGGCAUAAAGGGCGCGUAGGCGGUUCUGCAAGUGGCUCGUGAAAGCCCCCGGCUCAACCGGGGAAGUGCGGGCCAGACUGCAGUCCUUGAGGCUGGGAGGGGAGACUGGAACUCUCGGUGGAGCGGUGAAAUGCGUAGAUAUCGAGAGGAACACCGGUGGCGAAGGCGAGUCUCUGGUCCAGCUCUGACGCUGAGGCGCGAAAGCGUGGGUAGCAAACAGG